rnacentral:rRNA from 1 species
GACGAACGCUGGCGGCGUGCCUAAUACAUGCAAGUAGAACGCACAGUUUAUACCGUAGCUUGCUACACCAUAGACUGUGAGUUGCGAACGGGUGAGUAACGCGUAGGUAACCUGCCUGGUAGCGGGGGAUAACUAUUGGAAACGAUAGCUAAUACCGCAUAAUAUUAAUUAUUGCAUGAUAAUUAAUUGAAAGGUGCAAUUGCACCACUACCAGAUGGACCUGCGUUGUAUUAGCUAGUAGGUGAGGUAACGGCUCACCUAGGCGACGAUACAUAGCCGACCUGAGAGGGUGAUCGGUCACACUGGGACUGAGACACGGCCAGACUCCUACGGGAGGCAGCAGUAGGGAAUCUUCGGCAAUGGACGAAAGUCUGACCGAGCAACGCCGCGUGAGUGAAGAAGGUUUUCGGAUCGUAAAGC